ACGCGUUAGACGAACGGUCUGGAAAGUCCGACGAUACAGGGUGAUAGUCCCGUAGUUGACGACGUGUGUUCAGUGAAAUCGAGUAGGGCGGGACACGUGAUAUCCUGUCUGAAUAUGGGGGGACCAUCCUCCAAGGCUAAAUACUACUGACUGACCGAUAGUGAACCAGUACCGUGAGGGAAAGGCGAAAAGAACCCCUGUGAGGGGAGUGAAAUAGAACCUGAAACCGUGUACGUACAAGCAGUAGGAGCAGGCUUUGUCCUGUGACUGCGUACCUUUUGUAUAAUGGGUCAGCGACUUAUAUUCAGUGGCAAGGUUAACCAUCUAGGGGAGCCGUAGGGAAACCGAGUCUUAACUGGGCGUUCAGUCUCUGGAUAUAGACCCGAAACCAGGUGAUCUAGCCAUGGGCAGGUUGAAGGUUGAGUAACAUCAACUGGAGGACCGAACCGACUAAUGUUGAAAAAUUAGCGGAUGACUUGUGGCUAGGGGUGAAAGGCCAAUCAAACCUGGAGAUAGCUGGUUCUCCCCGAAAGCUAUUUAGGUAGCGCCUCGGACGAAUACUACUGGGGGUAGAGCACUGUUAAGGCUAGGGGGUCAUCCCGACUUACCAACCCUUUGCAAACUCCGAAUACCAGUAAGUACUAUCCGGGAGACACACGGCGGGUGCUAACGUCCGUCGUGGAGAGGGAAACAACCCAGACCGCCAGCUAAGGUCCCAAAUUACUACUAAGUGGGAAACGAUGUGGGAAGGCUCAGACAGCCAGGAUGUUGGCUUAGAAGCAGCCAUCAUUUAAAGAAAGCGUAAUAGCUCACUGGUCGAGUCGGCCUGCGCGGAAGAUGUAACGGGGCUAAGUAGUAAACCGAAGCUGCGGCAAUAUACUUUUGUAUAUUGGGUAGGGGAGCGUUCUGUAAGCGGUUGAAGGUGUGUGGUAACGCAUGCUGGACGUAUCAGAAGUGCGAAUGCUGACAUGAGUAACGAUAAAGGGGGUGAAAAACCUCCUCGCCGGAAGACCAAGGGUUCCUGUCCAACGUUAAUCGGGGCAGGGUAAGUCGACCCCUAAGGCGAGGCCGAAAGGCGUAGUCGAUGGGAAACGGGUUAAUAUUCCCGUACUUCUUACAAUUGCGAUGGGGGGACGGAGAAGGCUAGGUGGGCCUGGCGACGGUUGUCCAGGUUCAAGUGCGUAGGCU
rnacentral:rRNA from 1 species